rnacentral:lncRNA from 1 species
GCCUUACUUUACUCAGUUUUACGAUAGAGUAGCAAACUAAUAACCUCUAAAAUCCUUUCUAGUUUUGAUUUCUUUGGAUUAGCUUCUCAAGGAUACUUUCCAAUCACUUCAAGCAGCAGUGCUGUGUCUCAGGCUGAUAUUCACUCUUCUUUAUGAUCACCAAGCACCUCACCAAAGGCAGAGGAAAUGCUGACUUUACAUUGACACAGACUUCAGAGAAACUUGACUGUUUAGUCAACAGGUUUGCCAUAAUGUGCACAGACCAAUAUUAGCAGCAAAAUAAGAAAAAAAGGAAAUGUUAAAUAAUUUAUUAUUUUAUAUUUUUGACUGCUAUUCUAUGUCAUCUUCCUGGUAAACUAAAUAUUUCUUAUUUUAUUAUUCUUUUCAUGAUGGAAAAGGUACCCAUCUUGGCUUGUGUUAAAAAAAAAUGGUUCACAUGAUUUUGAAGUUUGAAGGUAAAUCUAGCAUCAGGCAUGAUUUUGUCUAGAGGUCAAAAAGAUAAUGUCCGAGUUUCUUCUCUUCAUUUCUUUAGCCUCAGUCUUUUUUAGUGUGUUUGACUCAUUCUUUAUAACUGCAUAUGAUAUCCUACAAGUGGCUGACUGCGGCCACAGAGGUGUUGGUGCUAUUUCUGGGCCAAGGUGUGUAUUGGAUGUGGUCCCACCACACUCCUUGCUCUCUUGCCCCUCCCUCUGCCUGGGUGAAGCUAAUAGAGAAGCCCUGAGGGAUGGUGAUACCACAAGCCGUCAAGAAACUCAGUUACUCAGUCAUCAAUGGAGGAAAACUUCAGGCUGACUAGCAACGCCUGCUUGAACGAUUAAGACAGCAGGAGGCCGGGUGUGGUGGCUCAUGCCUAUAAUCCCAGCAUGUUGGGAGGCCGAGGUGAGUGGAUCACCUGACAUCAGGAGUUCAAGACCAGCCUGACCAACAAGAGGAAUAGUGAGAGAAAAAGAAGGAAAAAAGCUUCACCUUCACCCCUGGAACAUUCAUAUUUAUUAUUAUACAAGGCAAGUUGAUGUUGAAUAAAUUCAG